GAACUAGAAGCCGCAAGACAAGACUCGUCUAUAUCAGAGAAACCGUAUUGAGGAAAGGUCAUAAAGACUCGCACAUUAAUUGUUUGUUUGACUGUUUGCUUGGUGGUCGUCUCUAUUUUGCCUUCUGCUCAGUCGCGGUCAUAUGGGCCACCAGGGACACAGCAGAAAAAUACAUGCGUGAGAGUCUGCCGUAAAAAGCAUGAAGAGGCAAUCUUUCAGGCGGAUGAAGAUUGCACUGAUUGCAUAAUGGAUUGUCCAGCUCACGGACCUAGGGGUGGCUGAUCGAGGAUUCAACAUUAAAAAUCUUGCUAAAAGUGAUUAAGGAAAAAGGUGUAAGAUUGUAAAUGGACCUUAGCUGAAAUAAAAUGACUAUUCAAAACUAA